GGCGCACGGUGGAUGCCUUGGCACUAGAAGCCGAUGAAGGACGUUACUAACGACGAUAUGCUUUGGGGAGCUGUAAGUAAGCUUUGAUCCAGAGAUUUCCGAAUGGGGAAACCCAGCAUGAGUUAUGUCAUGUUAUCGAUAUGUGAAUACAUAGCAUAUCAGAAGGCACACCCGGAGAACUGAAACAUCUUAGUACCCGGAGGAAGAGAAAGAAAAUUCGAUUCCCUUAGUAGCGGCGAGCGAAACGGGAAGAGCCCAAACCAACAAGCUUGCUUGUUGGGGUUGUAGGACACUCUAUACGGAGUUACAAAGGACGACAUUAGACGAAUCAUCUGGAAAGAUGAAUCAAAGAAGGUAAUAAUCCUGUAGUCGAAAAUGUUGUCUCUCUUGAGUGGAUCCUGAGUACGACGGAGCACGUGAAAUUCCGUCGGAAUCUGGGAGGACCAUCUCCUAAGGCUAAAUACUCUCUAGUGACCGAUAGUGAACCAGUACCGUGAGGGAAAGGUGAAAAGCACCCCGGAAGGGGAGUGAAAUAGAACCUGAAACCGUGUGCUUACAAGUAGUCAGAGCCCGUUAAUGGGUGAUGGCGUGCCUUUUGUAGAAUGAACCGGCGAGUUACGAUUUGAUGCAAGGUUAAGCAGUAAAUGUGGAGCCGUAGCGAAAGCGAGUCUGAAUAGGGCGUUUAGUAUUUGGUCGUAGACCCGAAACCAGGUGAUCUACCCUUGGUCAGGUUGAAGUUCAGGUAACACUGAAUGGAGGACCGAACCGACUUACGUUGAAAAGUGAGCGGAUGAACUGAGGGUAGCGGAGAAAUUCCAAUCGAACCUGGAGAUAGCUGGUUCUCUCCGAAAUAGCUUUAGGGCUAGCCUCAAGUGAUGAUUAUUGGAGGUAGAGCACUGUUUGGACGAGGGGCCCCUCUCGGGUUACCGAAUUCAGACAAACUCCGAAUGCCAAUUAAUUUAACUUGGGAGUCAGAACAUGGGUGAUAAGGUCCGUGUUCGAAAGGGAAACAGCCCAGACCACCAGCUAAGGUCCCAAAAUAUAUGUUAAGUGGAAAAGGAUGUGGCGUUGCCCAGACAACUAGGAUGUUGGCUUAGAAGCAGCCAUCAUUUAAAGAGUGCGUAAUAGCUCACUAGUCGAGUGACACUGCGCCGAAAAUGUACCGGGGCUAAACAUAUUACCGAAGCUGUGGAUUGUCCUUUGGACAAUGGUAGGAGAGCGUUCUAAGGGCGUUGAAGCAUGAUCGUAAGGACAUGUGGAGCGCUUAGAAGUGAGAAUGCCGGUGUGAGUAGCGAAAGACGGGUGAGAAUCCCGUCCACCGAUUGACUAAGGUUUCCAGAGGAAGGCUCGUCCGCUCUGGGUUAGUCGGGUCCUAAGCUGAGGCCGACAGGCGUAGGCGAUGGAUAACAGGUUGAUAUUCCUGUACCACCUAUAAUCGUUUUAAUCGAUGGGGGGACGCAGUAGGAUAGGCGAAGCGUGCGAUUGGAUUGCACGUCUAAGCAGUAAGGCUGAGUAUUAGGCAAAUCCGGUACUCGUUAAGGCUGAGCUGUGAUGGGGAGAAGACAUUGUGUCUUCGAGUCGUUGAUUUCACACUGCCGAGAAAAGCCUCUAGAUAGAAAAUAGGUGCCCGUACCGCAAACCGACACAGGUAGUCAAGAUGAGAAUUCUAAGGUGAGCGAGCGAACUCUCGUUAAGGAACUCGGCAAAAUGACCCCGUAACUUCGGGAGAAGGGGUGCUCUUUAGGGUUAACGCCCAGAAGAGCCGCAGUGAAUAGGCCCAAGCGACUGUUUAUCAAAAACACAGGUCUCUGCUAAACCGUAAGGUGAUGUAUAGGGGCUGACGCCUGCCCGGUGCUGGAAGGUUAAGAGGAGUGGUUAGCUUCUGCGAAGCUACGAAUCGAAGCCCCAGUAAACGGCGGCCGUAACUAUAACGGUCCUAAGGUAGCGAAAUUCCUUGUCGGGUAAGUUCCGACCCGCACGAAAGGCGUAACGAUUUGGGCACUGUCUCAACGAGAGACUCGGUGAAAUCAUAGUACCUGUGAAGAUGCAGGUUACCCGCGACAGGACGGAAAGACCCCGUGGAGCUUUACUGUAGCCUGAUAUUGAAAUUCGGCACAGCUUGUACAGGAUAGGUAGGAGCCUUUGAAACGUGAGCGCUAGCUUACGUGGAGGCGCUGGUGGGAUACUACCCUAGCUGUGUUGGCUUUCUAACCCGCACCACUUAUCGUGGUGGGAGACAGUGUCAGGCGGGCAGUUUGACUGGGGCGGUCGCCUCCUAAAAGGUAACGGAGGCGCUCAAAGGUUCCCUCAGAAUGGUUGGAAAUCAUUCAUAGAGUGUAAAGGCAUAAGGGAGCUUGACUGCGAGACCUACAAGUCGAGCAGGGUCGAAAGACGGACUUAGUGAUCCGGUGGUUCCGCAUGGAAGGGCCAUCGCUCAACGGAUAAAAGCUACCCCGGGGAUAACAGGCUUAUCUCCCCCAAGAGUUCACAUCGACGGGGAGGUUUGGCACCUCGAUGUCGGCUCAUCGCAUCCUGGGGCUGUAGUCGGUCCCAAGGGUUGGGCUGUUCGCCCAUUAAAGCGGUACGCGAGCUGGGUUCAGAACGUCGUGAGACAGUUCGGUCCCUAUCCGUCGUGGGCGUAGGAAAUUUGAGAGGAGCUGUCCUUAGUACGAGAGGACCGGGAUGGACAUACCUCUGGUGUACCAGUUGUCGUGCCAACGGCAUAGCUGGGUAGCUAUGUGUGGACGGGAUAAGUGCUGAAAGCAUCUAAGCAUGAAGCCCCCCUCAAGAUGAGAUUUCCCAACUUCGGUUAUAAGAUCCCUCAAAGAUGAUGAGGUUAAUAGGUUCGAGGUGGAAGCAUGGUGACAUGUGGAGCUGACGAAUACUAAUCGAUCGAAGACUUAAUCAA
rnacentral:rRNA from 1 species